CUCAGCUCCCUGUCUGAGGGCCAGAGGAGUGGCAUGAGGCUGAAGGAGGAAUGGUGCAGAUUUUGAGGGUGCAAUUUGGACCACCAAGAGGCUGAGCACUGAAGAUUUGCUGCAGAAUUCUUGGAUUUUAGAAAGGGGGAGAAGAAAAAGAAGACUAAGAGAUGGGCUCAAAGAAACAUGAAUAUACAGCUGAAAGAUCAGGAAGUUGCUGAGAAGCAGCAGUAUGAGCAUUUGGAGUUAACAUGGGCAGCCUUUAAUCAGGGACUCAUCAGGACAACAUACACCUCAAUCAAAGAUAAUUCCUCUGGAGGC